rnacentral:lncRNA from 1 species
GGCGUACACCUCUUCGAGCUUGGGCGCGUGACACGUGGCCUCGAUGGAGUAUGCGCCGUCGAAGGAGUUGUCGGGGAAGGGCAUACUGAGGAAAUUGCCGCAGACGACCUCACAGAGGGAGUCUAGGCCGGCUUUCUUGUUGUGGAGGCGGGCGCGGUUCACCUGGUAGUCGUUGAUUGUAAUGCCCACGACGUUCGCGCGGGAGUGGGCCGCGAUAGCACGCAUUGGCCCGCCCACGCCGCAGCCCACGUCCAGGACUCUGUCUCCGGGGCGGGCCUGGAUGAGAUCGACUGCCAUCUCCUCGUGGAGGCGCGUGGCUUCGCCGUGGGACUUCCCCGGGAUCGAGGGGGAGAAGUGGAAGGACUGGCCCCACCCCCACUCGUAGAUGUCAGUCACUAAAUUGUAGAAGGUGUCCACGAAGUCCGGGACUUUCUCUGCCGUUUCGAUCUCCUUUGGG